rnacentral:rRNA from 1 species
GUUGAUGCCAUGCUUCCAAGAAAAGCUUCUAAGCUCAGGUAACCAGGAACCGUACCCCAAACCGACACAGGUGGUUGGGUAGAGAAUACCAAGGCGCUUGAGAGAACUCGGGUGAAGGAACUAGGCAAAAUGGCACCGUAACUUCGGGAGAAGGUGCGCCGGUGAGGGUGAAGGACUUGCUCCGUAAGCCCAUGCCGGUCGAAGAUACCAGGCCGCUGCGACUGUUUAUUAAAAACACAGCACUCUGCAAACACGAAAGUGGACGUAUAGGGUGUGACGCCUGCCCGGUGCCGGAAGGUUAAUUGAUGGGGUUAGCUAACGCGAAGCUCUUGAUCGAAGCCCCGGUAAACGGCGGCCGUAACUAUAACGGUCCUAAGGUAGCGAAAUUCCUUGUCGGGUAAGUUCCGACCUGCACGAAUGGCGUAACGAUGGCGGCGCUGUCUCCACCCGAGACUCAGUGAAAUUGAAAUCGCUGUGAAGAUGCAGUGUAUCCGCGGCUAGACGGAAAGACCCCGUGAACCUUUACUAUAGCUUUGCACUGGACUUUGAAUUUGCUUGUGUAGGAUAGGUGGGAGGCUUUGAAGCGUGGACGCCAGUCUGCGUGGAGCCAACCUUGAAAUACCACCCUGGCAACUUUGAGGUUCUAACUCAGGUCCGUUAUCCGGAUCGAGGACAGUGUAUGGUGGGUAGUUUGACUGGGGCGGUCUCCUCCUAAAGAGUAACGGAGGAGUACGAAGGUGCGCUCAGACCGGUCGGAAAUCGGUCGUAGAGUAUAAAGGCAAAAGCGCGCUUGACUGCGAGACAGACACGUCGAGCAGGUACGAAAGUAGGUCUUAGUGAUCCGGUGGUUCUGUAUGGAAGGGCCAUCGCUCAACGGAUAAAAGGUACUCCGGGGAUAACAGGCUGAUACCGCCCAAGAGUUCAUAUCGACGGCGGUGUUUGGCACCUCGAUGUCGGCUCAUCACAUCCUGGGGCUGAAGCCGGUCCCAAGGGUAUGGCUGUUCGCCAUUUAAAGUGGUACGCGAGCUGGGUUUAGAACGUCGUGAGACAGUUCGGUCCCUAUCUGCCGUGGACGUUUGAGAUUUGAGAGGGGCUGCUCCUAGUACGAGAGGACCGGAGUGGACGAACCUCUGGUGUUCCGGUUGUCACGCCAGUGGCAUUGCCGGGUAGCUAUGUUCGGAAUAGAUAACCGCUGAAAGCAUCUAAGCGGGAAACUAGCCUCAAGAUGAGAUCUCACUGGGACCUUGAGUCCCCUGAAGGGCCGUCGAAGACUACGACGUUGAUAGGUUGGGUGUGUAAGCGCUGUGAGGCGUUGAGCUAACCAAUACUAAUUGCCCGUGAGGCUUGACCAU